UACGGAGGAUGCAAGCGUUAUCCGGAAUGAUUGGGCGUAAAGCGUCCGCAGGCGGCUGUGUAAGUCUGCUGUUAAAGAGUGAGGCUCAACCUCAUAAAGGCAGUGGAAACUACAUGGCUAGAGUGCGUUCGGGGCAGAGGGAAUUCCUGGUGUAGCGGUGAAAUGCAUAGAGAUCAGGAAGAACACCGGUGGCGAAAGCGCUCUGCUAGGCCGCAACUGACACUGAGGGACGAAAGCUAGGGGAGCGAAUGGG
rnacentral:rRNA from 1 species